rnacentral:misc_RNA from 1 species
AAUGUGUACACACGUUAGUCAAGAUUGUUCUGUCCAACUUUUGCUAUGAAGAUCAGGUUUUGUACCAUACAAUAGGAUUGUUCAAAUUCAGCCAAAUUCAACCCAAAGGACCCAAUAAACAUUUAUUGCAUCUACCGAUGUUAUUAGCCUAUCUGAUACCAAUCUGACCCUACUAAUUAGUAAUUAAUUACACUCACUAACUAUGUUGAAACAAUU